GCCAAAAAAUAGAGUCAAUGCCCGAUCUCUGAAUAUUUGCAGGUUUGGGCCUGGUUAGUACAUGGAUGGGAGACUGCCUGGGAAUACCAGGUGCUUUAAUCUUUUGGAAAAUUUCACGAAUUAUAUAAUAAUCUUUCAUUAAAAAAAAAAAAAAAAAAAAAA